rnacentral:rRNA from 1 species
UACGGGGGGGGCAAGCGUUGUUCGGAAUUACUGGGCGUAAAGGGCUCGUAGGCGGCCGACUAAGUCAGACGUGAAAUCCCUCGGCUCAACCGGGGAAUUGCGUCUGAUACUGGACGGCUUGAAUCCGGGAGAGGGAUGCGGAAUUCCAGGUGUAGCGGUGAAAUGCGUAGAUAUCUGGAGGAACACCGGUGGCAAAGGCGGCAUCCUGGACCGGUAUUGACGCUGAGGAGCGAAAGCCAGGGGAGCAAAC